CAAAACGUAGGAGCAUUGCUAGCUGUUCUCGGCAUCGGGGUGGAUCUGCGAGAGCGAGAGAGACGGCUGCGUGAAAGAAAUAUACACACACACACAUACACAUACACACGUACACACAUUUCACAUACGCACACGUUACACGUACACACGUUAACGCAAAUACGCACAUAAUAUAAAUAUUAAAAAAGAAAAAAGGAAAAAGUUAUAAUUAAUAAUAUGCAAAUCGAAAGAUCGUUACUGUCAUUGUUAAUAAUAAUAUAAUAAUAAUAAUAAUAAUACUAAUAAUAAUGUUCUCGUCUCGCAGUAUGUAUCUCGAUCGUCGAUCGUCGUCUAGUGCACCGAGAUAGUAAUCUCGAGUGUUAUUUUUUUUUUUCAAAUCUAUAUCUCUCUAUAUAUAUUUUUUCUCUCUUUCUCUCUCUCUCUGUCUCUCGUUUCCUUUCUCCUUUUAUCUCCAUUUCUCUACCAGUCGGUUCUAAUCGCGGUUGCGUCGAUGCCGUACGACGUCGACGGGCGACGUCGUCUUCGUGCGCUCUUUAUGCGCGCGUCCCUCAGUGUUCAUCAGUGAUUAUAUUAUUCACCUUACAUAUUAUACAACACAAGGAAAGAAAUACGAGUAAGAAAACAACGGUCAUUGGUAAAAGGGGUGGAAUUUAAAUUCGAUCGAGAGAGACCUGACCAAAGGCACAUAAUAAUAACGUGACUAUAAUAAUUGUAAGGAACGUUGAAGGAGUAAAAAGAAAAAAGCAAAGAUGUCGUCGGUGAAAGUAGCGGUGAGGGUUCGACCCUUUAACAAUCGUGAAAUAUCACGCGAAGCACAAUGCAUCAUUGAAAUGUCAGGCAAUACUACUUCAAUAGUAAAUCCGAAAGUACCAGCUGGCAGUAAGGAUGCAAUAAAAAGCUUCAAUUAUGAUUAUUCGUACUUUUCCAUGGACCCAUGCGAGUCUAAUUAUUCAUCACAAAUUAUGGUCUACAAAGACAUAGGCGAGGAAAUGUUAGAACAUGCAUUUGAAGGCUACAAUGUUUGUAUAUUUGCUUACGGACAGACCGGUGCUGGAAAAUCUUAUACGAUGAUGGGUAAACAGGAAGAUGGUCAAGAAGGAAUAAUACCUCAAAUUUGUAAAGAUUUGUUUCGUAAAAUAAGUCGAAAUUCAUCCGAACAAUUGAAAUAUUCGGUUGAGGUGAGUUAUAUGGAGAUUUAUUGCGAGAGAGUUAGGGAUUUGUUAAAUCCAAAGAACAAAGGAAAUUUACGUGUACGUGAACAUCCUCUUCUUGGACCUUACGUUGAGGAUCUUUCCAAAUUAGCUGUGAUGUCUUAUCAAGAUAUUCAUGAUCUCAUAGACGAAGGAAACAAAGCAAGAACGGUUGCAGCAACAAAUAUGAACGAAACAUCCAGUAGAUCACACGCAGUAUUUACGAUCUUCUUUACACAACAAAGACAAGAUUCAACGACUGGAUUAGCAACAGAGAAAGUUAGUAAAAUAUCUCUGGUCGAUUUAGCAGGUUCUGAAAGAGCCGACUCGACUGGUGCUAAAGGUACAAGGCUCAAGGAAGGUGCAAAUAUUAACAAGAGUCUUACCACACUUGGAAAAGUUAUUAGCGCAUUGGCUGAAAUCGCGGCUACCAAGAAAAAAAAGAAGGCCGAUUUCAUCCCCUACAGAGAUUCAGUAUUAACGUGGUUAUUACGUGAAAAUCUUGGUGGUAAUUCGAAGACUGCUAUGAUAGCAGCAAUUAGUCCAGCUGACAUUAAUUAUGAUGAAACUUUAUCAACCCUAAGAUAUGCGGAUCGUGCGAAACAAAUUGUUUGCAAAGCUGUCGUUAACGAGGACGCGAAUGCCAAACUCAUUCGAGAACUCAAAGAAGAAAUACAAAAACUACGUGAACUUCUCAAACAAGAAGGAAUCGACGUUCAAGAAGGGCCAGAUGGCAAAGUCACUUAUGAAAAGAAAGAGCCUAGGGAUGAAAUCAUUCGAACGAAUAAACGCGAGGAUGAUUACAACAAAGAAUCUCGUGCGAGAAUUCCCUCUCACACAACUUCGACUAUUGCCGAAGAAGCGGUCGAUCAGUUACAAGCAUCAGAGAAAUUAAUAGCCGAAUUAAACGAAACGUGGGAAGAAAAAUUGAAGAGAACCGAAUCGAUUCGACUCCAACGCGAAGCCGUGUUCGCUGAAAUGGGUGUAGCAGUGAAAGAAGAUGGUGUAACGGUUGGUGUAUUUUCACCAAAGAAAACCCCACACUUGGUUAAUCUAAACGAGGAUCCCUUGAUGUCCGAGUGUCUUAUUUAUUAUAUCAAAGAUGGUUUUACGCGUAUUGGAAGCGCUGAAGCUAAUAUACCACAAGAUAUACAACUUUGUGGUCCACAUAUAUUGAGCGAGCAUUGCGUAUUUGAAAAUCAUGAAAGUGUUAUCACUCUGAUGCCUAAAAAAGAUGCUUUGAUUUAUGUUAAUGGUCGUGAAAUAACCGAACCGAUCGUACUCAAAACUGGAUCACGCGUUAUUCUUGGCAAAAAUCAUGUAUUUAGGUUCAAUCAUCCUGAUCAAGUACGUGAACGAAGAGAAAAAAAUUCACCCGCCGAGACCCCCGGCAACGGUGAGACCGUUGACUGGAAUUUCGCACAAAUUGAAUUAUUAGAGAAACAAGGUAUCGAUCUCAAAUUGGAAAUGGAAAAGAGAUUGAUGGUACUCGAGGAACAAUUUCGAAAAGAGAAAGAAGAGGCCGAUCAAUUCUUCGAGGAACAACGCAAGAGUUACGAAGCACGAAUAGAUGCCUUGCAGAAGCAGGUAGAAGAACAAAGUAUGACUAUGUCAAUGUAUAGCAGUUACACACCAGAGGAUUUCAAUAAUACUGAAGAAGAUAUAUUCGUCAACCCCUUGUUUGACGCAGAGAGCAACUGGACCGAGAGAGAUUUCCAAUUGGCUGCGUGGGCCUUCCGCAAGUGGAAGUAUCAUCAGUUUACCAGUCUUCGAGAUGAUCUAUGGGGCAAUGCGAUAUUCCUCAAGGAAGCCAAUGCAAUAUCGGUUGAACUUAAGAAAAAGGUUCAGUUCCAAUUUACGUUAUUGACGGAUACACUAUACUCGCCACUACCGCAAGAUCUUUUACCAAUUGCAAUUGAUGAUGAAGAUGAAGAAGAAAGACCAUUCCCUCGCACAAUCGUUGCCGUUGAAGUUCAGGAUACAAAAAAUGGUGCUACACAUUAUUGGACCUUGGAAAAAUUAAGGCAAAGGUUAGAAACUAUGCGUGAAAUGUAUCACAAUGAGGCUGAACUUUCACCUACAUCACCAGAUUUUAAUAUUGAAACUAUCACGGGUGGUGAUCCGUUUUAUGAUCGGUUCCCAUGGUUCCGUAUGGUUGGAAGAUCAUUCGUAUAUCUUAGCAAUUUGAUGUAUCCUGUACCACUUAUUCACAAAGUUGCUAUAGUUAACGAAAAAGGUGAUGUCAAAGGUUAUUUGAGAGUAGCCGUGCAAGGUGUUGUUGGAGAAGAAAAUAGCGAGUACUCCAGCGGCGUUAGACAGUCUGCACGUAUCUCAUUCGAAGAUGAUUUAUUCGGUGGACACAAACAUAACAAACGCAACACACUUUUGGCUCAAACAUUGGAAAAGAAUCGUCAAAUACUCAUGAACGAUGAUCGCGUUAUAGGUCAUAACGAAUUACACAAGGAUUUGAAAGAUGAAGAUGAUAUUGGUGAUGCAGAUAGUGGAAGAGGUGAUAGUUCUGUUUCCAGUGAUAUGAAGGAAGAAGAUUUACCAGAUCAUUUACAACUUGGUGCUGAGUUCACAUUUAGAGUUACGGUGUUACAAGCAAUGGGUAUCUCAACCGAAUAUGCUGAUAUUUUCUGUCAAUUCAAUUUCUUACACCGACAUGAUGAAGCAUUUUCAACGGAAUCGGUAAAGAAUACCAACAAAGGAUGUCCACCUGGAUUUUAUCAUGUACAAAAUAUUACUGUCACUGUCACGAAAUCUUUCUUGGAGUAUCUUAAAUCACAACCGAUUGUAUUUGAGAUCUUCGGACAUUAUCAACAACAUCCGUUACACAAGGAUGCUAAACUGGAAUAUAGCGUACGACAACCACCGAAAAGGAUGUUACCACCAUCAAUACCAAUAAGUCAACCAGUACGUUCACCAAAGUUUGGUAGCGUUUUACCAUCCCCUAGUACGUCGCACAUUCAUGCAAAAUAUGACGUACUCGUGUGGUUUGAAAUUUGUGAGUUAGCACCGAAUGGCGAAUACGUUUCAUCCGUUGUGGAUCAUAGCGAUGAUUUACCCUGCCGCGGAUUAUUCCUCCUACAUCAAGGAAUUCAACGUCGUAUUCGUAUCACCAUAGUACACGAGCCUGCUUCAGAAUUACGAUGGAAAGAUGUAAGAGAAUUGGUAGUAGGUCGUAUUAGAAAUACCCCAGAACCGGAAGAGGAAGACAACGAUUCGUCUGUACUUUCAUUGGGAUUAUUCCCAGGUGAAUAUUUAGAAGUUAAAGGUGACGACAGGUGUAUGUUCAGAUUCGAAGCGGCCUGGGACAGUUCUUUGCACAAUUCGGCCUUACUCAACAGGGUCACGUCUUAUGGUGAACAAAUUUUCAUGACCAUCUCCGCAUACCUUGAGUUGGAGAAUUGUGGUAGACCAGCUAUCAUUACAAAAGAUUUAAGCAUGAUUAUUUAUGGCAGAGAUGCCAGAAUCGGGCCAAGAUCAUUGAAACAUCUGUUCAGUGGAAGUUAUCGUAACCAAGAAGCUAAUCGACUUAGCGGCGUCUAUGAAUUGGUGCUGCGACGUUCAUCGGAAGCAGGUAGCCCAGGCGUACAAAGGCGACAACGUCGCGUAUUAGAUACGAGUUCAACUUACGUCAGAGGUGAAGAAAAUCUUCACGGUUGGAGACCACGAGGUGACAGUCUGAUCUUUGAUCAUCAAUGGGAACUUGAAAAAUUAACCAGAUUGGAAGAGGUUGAGAGGGUCAGACAUACUUUACUUUUAAGAGAGAAACUUGGUAUUGAUAAAAUGCCUAUGUGUAAUAAACCGUUACAUGAUUUCACAAAAAGCGAGAAAGAGGUUUGUAACAUGGUUGCAAAAGCUACGAACGAGUCACACGCCAGCCCUAUCAAACUCAAACGCUCUACGAGCAAAGACGUUUAUGAACCUUGGGAGAUGACUGAUAGGGAAAGAGAAUUGGCAACUAAAUAUAUUAAACUUAUUCAAGGUAGAAUUCCAAGCAAAGAACCGAUUUUAUUAUCUGAUGUUUCCCCAGGAGAAGAUACGAUGGGAGACAUGUCAGCAUCUAUGCUAUCAUCAGUGUUAUCUUCAUCUUCUCAAGAAUUAAGUUCACCCGAAAGAGCCAAAUUGCAAGAAUUGCAAGAAAGCAUGUUAACUAGCGAAACGAUCGGUCAGUCUUGUACAGCACCAGCACCAAUGGGAUCCUCUUCACCUUCGAAAGAAAAUUUAGUGUUAUAUGUACCGGAAGUUGAAGAAAUUCGCAUCAGUCCUGUUAUUGCUAGGAAAGGAUAUUUAAAUGUAUUAGAACACAAGACUAACGGAUGGAAGAAACGUUGGGUUGCAGUACGUCGACCGUACGUUUUAAUUUUCCGAGAAGAAAAAGAUCCCGUAGAAAGAGCUUUGAUUAAUUUAGCAACCGCUCAAGUAGAAUACUCAGAAGAUCAGUUAGCUAUGGUUAAAGUACCAAAUACGUUCAGCGUUGUAACAAAACAUCGUGGAUACCUUCUUCAGACAUUAGGUGACAAAGAAGUGUAUGAUUGGUUAUACGCUAUAAAUCCGUUAUUAGCUGGCCAGAUAAGGCCCGGUUACUAGAUCUUUAAACAACGUAUCACCAACUGGUGUUACUCCGGCGUCGGAACAACAAUCGAAUCAAACCAAUAGUCAUCGAGUGAUCGUCACGAUUAAGGAUACGUCAACAGACGAGAAUUUAUUCGCUAACCGAAUCUGAUGAUGAUGAUGAUGGUGAUGAUGGUGAUGAUGGUGAUGAUGGUGAUGAUGAUUAUGAUAUCUCUUGAUAUCUCGGCGUCUCGUUUUAAGGAUACAUACGUUAUUUUAUCAUAUUAAACAAAUACACGUACACACAUUUGAACACACACAUGCAUAAAACAUACACUUACACAAAGAAAGAAUGAUAAGAUCAAGCAAACACGAGAUAGGCGCUAAUAUACCGACAGGAAGAAACAAAUUCAAAUAAACAUACGAAAUAAA
rnacentral:misc_RNA from 1 species